UGAUCCUGGCUCAGAAUGAACGUUGGCGGCGUGGAUUAGGCAUGCAAGUCGAGCGAGAAUUAAGUUGUUGAAGCCUCGGUGGAUUCAUCUUAAGGAAAGCGGCAAACGGCGUAGUAAUGGGUAGAUACUUUCCCUUCGGUCCGGGAUAGCCAGAGGAAACUUUGGGUAAUACCGGAUGAUCUCUGCGGAGCAAAGGUGUGAUUCCGCCGGAGGACAGGUCUACUUGAUAUUAGCUAGAUGGUGGGGUAAUGGCUUACCAUGGCGAUGAUGUCUAGGGGGUGUGAGGGCAUGGCCCCCACGACCGGAACUGAGACACUGUCCGGACACCUACGGGUGGCUGCAGUCGAGAAUCUUCCGCAAUGGGCGCAAGCCUGACGGAGCGACGCCGCGUGCGGGAUGAAGGCCCUUGGGUUGUAAACCGCUGUCAGAGGGGAUGAAAUCAUAUAGGGUUAUCCCUUUAUGUUGACAAAGCCUCAGAGGAAGCACGGGCUAAGUACGUGCCAGCAGCCGCGGUAACACGUACUGUGCGAACGUUAUUCGGAAUCACUGGGCUUAAAGGGUACGUAGGCGGUUUACCAAGUCAGAUGUGAAAUGCCACAGCUCAACUGUGGCACUGCGUUUGAAACUGGUAGGCUAGAGUAUUCCAGGGGUGUGCGGAACUUAUGGUGGAGCGGUGAAAUGCGUUGAUAUCAUGAGGAACACCGGAGGCGAAGGCGGCACACUGGGGGAUAACUGACGCUGAGGUACGAAAGCUAGGGUAGCGAACGGGAUUAGAUACCCCGGUAGU
rnacentral:rRNA from 1 species